UGGGGAAUAUUGGACAAUGGACCAAAAGUCUGAUCCAGCAAUUCUGUGUGCACGAUGACGUUUUUCGGAAUGUAAAGUGCUUUCAGUUGGGAAGAAAAAAGUGACGGUACCAACAGAAGAAGUGACGGCUAAAUACGUGCCAGCAGCCGCGGUAAUACGUAUGUCACAAGCGUUAUCCGGAUUUAUUGGGCGUAAAGCGCGUCUAGGUGGUUAUGUAAGUCUGAUGUGAAAAUGCAGGGCUCAACUCUGUAUUGCGUUGGAAACUGCAUGACUAGAGUACUGGAGAGGUAAGCGGAACUACAAGUGUAGAGGUGAAAUUCGUAGAUAUUUGUAGGAAUGCCGAUGGGGAAGCCAGCUUACUGGACAGAUACUGACGCUAAAGCGCGAAAGCGUGGGUAGCAAACAGGAUUAGAUACCCUGGUAGUCCACGCCGUAAACGAUGAUUACUAGGUGUUGGGGGUCGAACCUCAGCGCCCAAGCUAACGCGAUAAGUAAUCCGCCUGGGGAGUACGUACGCAAGUAUG
rnacentral:rRNA from 1 species